rnacentral:rRNA from 1 species
UACGUAGGGGGCAAGCGUUGUCCGGAUUUAUUGGGCGUAAAGAGCGUGUAGGCGGCCAGGUAGGUCAGCUGUGAAAACUCGAGGCUCAACCUCGAGACGUCGGUUGAAACCACCUGGCUAGAGUCCGGAAGAGGAGAGUGGAAUUCCUGGUGUAGCGGUGAAAUGCGCAGAUAUCAGGAGGAACACCGAUGGCGAAGGCAGCUCGCUGGGACGGUACUGACGCUGAGGCGCGAAAGCGUGGGGAGCGAACAGG